GGUGGGGCCGUGAUUCGGGCUGGGUGUGCGGAAUAGGCGGCCUGGAUUAGGGAAAAUGCCGGACUGGAUCCAGCUGAAGCAGAAACUACGGAGCGAUUUCUCCAGGAUGAGGACUGCAUUCCCAGCUUAUGACGGUGAACACAAGACCCCAUCAUCCCGCAUGAAGCCCUACUCUUCCCUUUCCUGCUGCUAUUCUGAGAACCCAGCCGCCACGCUGAGUUAACAAGAUACUCCUGAUACCAGGUGUUCCUGAACGUAUCUGAACACAAGCCAUCCAAAAAGAAAGUGAGCAGGUCUCUUUUCCCCUCAGUCUGGAGCCUCUAGAUCAUCAGUUCUGCAUUUUCUGACGAAUUUGCUGCUUCCAGAGUGCCUGUGCUGCUUCUUUCACACGUUAUCACGCUUCAGAAAACCCCGGUGCUGCUCUGAACAUGUACCGCCCCAAAUAAUCCUGCUGCCGGCAUCCAACAAAUGAAAACAUUAUCAAUGUUUCACGGCCCUUAUUGUUAAUUCAUACACUGUAUAUCUUUAAUUAUUGAGUUGAAAACUUAACAAAUUCAUGAAAUCUCCAGGGGCAGUAUCAUAAAUAUGCAGUUUGUACUUUAAUUGGCUGGUAAAGACACUAAAUACUGUCAAAGAGUCUGGAAAGGAAGUUUAUCUGUUCUGGGUAAGAGGUGGCAUUGAGAGCUACUGAAAUUGGUCCUUAUCUAGCACUAAAAUGUUGCUCAUGUACACCCUAAUAAAACCAUAAUAUUUUCCAUGCUGGCUCAUGGUGCUUCACCUAAAAUGUUAAGGUUCAGCUGCAUGACAGGUAACAUUGUAAGCUGGAUUUAAAAAGCCUAUGCUAGAAAAUGACAGAUUGCUGCAUCACAUCAGAGGGCAAUCCAACCUUA